rnacentral:misc_RNA from 1 species
GUAUAAAACCAAUCAGCUUCCUCAGGAUUGAGCGUUCUAACAGGGCUAGAUAAGAGAAACCGAUGCAUAAAUAUCUCAGCAGCAAACAUGUGGGUGAGGCAUCUUGGGUCCUUUUGCAGAAUCUUCUUGUUGUAUUUGCUUGGAAGUUCAUAAACAAAAACUUUUAGUCUGCCCACAGGAUCAUCUUCCAAAACAUCACCAGCACUACCUGAAAUCCUCUCAGUGGGUUGACUCCUGCUCAGCUUCACAGCGCCAACAGUCGAUGCAAAGGCAGCAUAGCAGAGAAUCCCAACAAAAACCAAUUUCCAAAUCUUCAUUCUCU